AUUGAACGCUGGCGGCAGGCCUAACACAUGCAAGUCGAGCGGAUGAAGGGAGCUUGCUCCUGGAUUCAGCGGCGGACGGGUGAGUAAUGCCUAGGAAUCUGCCUGGUAGUGGGGGAUAACGUCCGGAAACGGGCGCUAAUACCGCAUACGUCCUGAGGGAGAAAGUGGGGGAUCUUCGGACCUCACGCUAUCAGAUGAGCCUAGGUCGGAUUAGCUAGUUGGUGGGGUAAAGGCCUACCAAGGCGACGAUCCGUAACUGGUCUGAGAGGAUGAUCAGUCACACUGGAACUGAGACACGGUCCAGACUCCUACGGGAGGCAGCAGUGGGGAAUAUUGGACAAUGGGCGAAAGCCUGAUCCAGCCAUGCCGCGUGUGUGAAGAAGGUCUUCGGAUUGUAAAGCACUUUAAGUUGGGAAGAAGGGCAGUAAGUGAAUACGUGGCUGUUUUGACGUUACCAACAGAAUAAGCCCCGGCUAACUUCGUG
rnacentral:rRNA from 1 species